rnacentral:rRNA from 1 species
UACGGAGGGGGCUAGCGUUGUUCGGAAUUACUGGGCGUAAAGCGCGCGUAGGCGGACCUGCAAGUCGGGGGUGAAAGCCCGAGGCUCAACCUCGGAACUGCCUUCGAUACUGCUUGGCUUGAGACCGGGAGAGGUGAGUGGAAUUCCCAGUGUAGCGGUGAAAUGCGUAGAUAUUGGGAGGAACACCAGUGGCGAAGGCGGCUCACUGGACCGGUACUGACGCUGAUGCGCGAAAGCGUGGGGAGCAAACGGG